GACGAACGCUGGCGGCGUGCCUAAUACAUGCAAGUCGAACGAGAGCGCCCGGUGCUUGCACUGGUCAAUUUAGUGGCGGACGGGUGAGUAACACGUGGGUAACCUGCCUAUCAGGGGGGGAUAACAUCCGGAAACGGAUGCUAAAACCGCAUAGUUUUUCGAGCCGCAUGGCUUGAUGAGGAAAAGAGGCGCUUGGUUCUGCUGAGGGAUGAACCCGCGGUGCAUAAGCUAGUUGGUGAGGGAACGGCUCACCAAGGCCGGGAUGCAUACCCGACCUGAGAGGGUGAUCGGCCACAUUGGAACUGAGACACGGCCCAAACUCCUACGGGAGGCAGCAGUAGGGAAUCUUCCGCAAUGGACGAAAGUCUGACGGAGCAACGCCGCGUGAGUGAAGAAGGUGUUCGGAUCGUAAAACUCUGUUGUUAGGGAAGAACAAGUGUUAGAGUAACUGUGAACGCCUUGACGGUACCUAAACAGAAAGCCACGGCUAACUACGUG
rnacentral:rRNA from 1 species